UAAAAAAAAGAAAAAAAGAUGGGAGACCUGAUCUUUCUGGACUACAGCAAUAGAAGAUGAACCUUCCAUUCAUUUAAAGAAAUCCCAAUAUUUUGCAUAGCAGCAUCAAACCUAGAUCCAGACAUGAUUCUCCUGUGAUAUGAAGGCACUCUGAACAAAGGAUGAAAUCACAGUGCUGGUGACAUCGAUAGCAGAAUUGCUGAUUCUGAGGAUACCCUCCUGUUGGUAGAAAUACAACAUGCCAAACCAGAG
ensembl:lncRNA